rnacentral:misc_RNA from 1 species
GCUACUACCGAUUGAAUGGUUUAGUGAGGACUCCUGAUUGGCGCCGCCGCCCCGGCAACGGAGCAGCGGACUGCCGAAAAGUUGUUCAAACUUGAUCAUUUAGAGGAAGUAAAAGUCGUAACAAUGUUUCCGUAGGUGAACCUGCAGAAGGAUCAAGAUAGGAGGAGGGUCGUGUAGGGAAAGAGUGAAGGUCUCGGGGGUCGCCGUUGCAUUAAAAAAAAAAAGCCCCCGACGCGUAGUCAGUUAUGUCCGCUCCAACCUCCACCACACAUGCCAC